AUUGAACGCUGGCGGCAGGCCUAACACAUGCAAGUCGAGCGCGCGGAGGACGGGUGAGUAAUGUAUGGGGACUGCCCGAUAGAGGGGGAUAACUACUGGAAAAGGUAGCUAAUACCGCACACAAUCGGAUACCCCAUAUGGGGUUAGCUAGUAGGUGAGGUAAUGGCUCACCUAGGGGACGAUCCCUAGCUGGGCUGAGAGGAUGAUCAGCCACACUGGGACUGAGACACGGCCCAGACUCCUACGGAGGCAGCAGUGGGGAAUAUUGCACAAUGGGCGCAAGCCUGAUGCAGCCAUGCCGCGUGUAUGAAGAAGGCCCUAGGGUUGUAAAGUACUUUCAGUCGGGAGGCGUUACCUACAGAAGAAGCACCGGCUAACUCCGUGCCAGCAGCCGCGGUAAUUC
rnacentral:rRNA from 1 species